ensembl:snRNA U1 U1 spliceosomal RNA
AUAACCUGGCAGGGGCGAUACCAUGAUGAUAAGGCUCUGCCAUUGCACUUCGGUGCUGCUGACCCUUGCGAAUUCCCCAAAUGCGGCAAUCUCAACAGCAUAAUUUUUGGUAGUGGGGGACUGCAUUUGCGCUCUCCCCUG